AUAUCUCAACCCAACAGUUUUUGUAAUGAGAACUGGAGGGCUUGGACUUGGAGGCUUUGCCGGCGCUUGUCGGCUCCUCUCUAAAUUCAUUAGCUGAGUCUUUCGAGACGUAGCCUCGGUGUGAUAAUUGUCUACGCCGUGUGUUUGCGUUCUUGCUUGCGCCACCCUGCUCUUGCAGUUGUUGUGGCGGAGACUUCUGGCUUCUAAUCGUCUUCGGACAAUUCACUUUGAC
rnacentral:misc_RNA from 1 species